rnacentral:rRNA from 1 species
ACGUAGGGGGCAAGCGUUACUCGGAUUUAUUGGGCGUAAAGAGAAUUCAGGCGGUCAUGUAAGUCAGUGGUGAAAUCCCCCGGCUCAACUGGGGAAUUGCCUUUGAUACUGCGUGACUUGAGGACAGGAGAGGAAGGCGGAAUUCCCGGUGUAGCGGUGGAAUGCGUAGAUAUCGGGAGGAACACCUGAGGCGAAGGCGGCUUUCUGGACUGGUCCUGACGCUGAUAUUCGAAAGCUAGGGGAGCAAACAG